rnacentral:misc_RNA from 1 species
GCAAACUUGGUCAUUUAGAGGAAGUAAAAGUCGUAACAAGGUUUCCGUAGGUGAACCUGCGGAAGGAUCAUUACCGAAUGACCUGCACCUCGCUGUGUGCGUGUAUGUUGGUGGCAGACCCAUGCUCCAGCAAACCAACACUGUGCACCUUCUUGUAGUUGACCACUCCAAAGGCCUGCCAUCAGAAUUUUGACGAUAAUCAACUCGGCUCGUGUUGAAGUUGGUCGGACGUCAGAUGCUGUUGCAGCAGGCCUAUGGUCUCCUAUGCCUCCACAACACACAAACCUGUCAUCGUAGGGUGUUGAACUCGAACAUGUAAUAUAACUUUCAACAACGGAUCUCUUGGCUCUCGCAUCGAUGAAGAACGCAGC